AAGUAUAUGCAUAUUUUAUAUGUAGAAACUGCGAACGGCUCAUUAAAACAGUUAUAAUCUACUUGACAUUUUCUAUAUAAGGAUAACUACGGAAAAGCUGUAGCUAAUACUUGCUUUAGCACUCUUGAUUUAUUUCUUGAGUGUGUACUUGUUAAGCCUUAUAAGAAAAGAGUUAUUAACUUAAGGAAUUAUAACAAAGAAGUAACACGUAAUGGAUCAUUCCAUUUUUAGUGUGUAUCAAUCGAGUUUCUGACCUAUCAGCUUUUGAUGUUAGGGUAUUGGCCUAACAUGGCUAUGACGGGUAACGGGGAAUUAGAGUUCGAUUCCGGAGAGGGAGCCUGAGAAAUAGCUACCACAUCUAAGGAAGGCAGCAGGCGCGUAAAUUACCCAAUUCUAAAGAAGAGAGGUAGUGACAAGAAAUAACAAUACAAGGCCAAUCUGGCUUUGUAAUUGGAAUGAUGGGAAUUUAAAACCUUCCCAAAAUUCAAUUGGAGGGCAAGUCUGGUGCCAGCAGCCGCGGUAAUUCCAGCUCCAAUAGCGUAUAUUAAAAUUGUUGCAGUUAAAACGCUCGUAGUUGAAUUUCAAAGAAUCGAUAUUUUAAGUAACGCUUCUAGCUACAAAUCCACAUAACUGAUGCCUCCGCGUAUCGACUUUGUGCGCAUUUUAGCUAUUAUGUGUUCUUUUAAUUAAAAUGAUUCUUUUUAAGAUUCAUCUAUUAAAAAUUUGCUUCGGCAUAAUUUUUUUUGAUGAUCUUGUUACUUUGAGUAAAUUAGAGUGUUCAAAGCAAACAGAUAUAGCAUUUGUGCGUUUGAAUACUACAGCAUGGAAUAACAAAAUUGAACAAGUCAGAAUUUUUUUGUUCUUUUUUCUUAUUUUGGCUUAGUUACGAUUAAUAGGAGUAGCUUGGGGGCAUUUGUAUUCAGAUGUCAGAGGUGAAAUUCUUAGAUUUUCUGGAGACAAACAACUGCGAAAGCAUUUGCCUAAAAUACUUCCAUUAAUCAAGAACGAAAGUUAAGGGAGUGAAGACGAUCAGAUACCGUCGUAAUCUUAACCAUAAACUAUGCCGACUAGGCUUUGGAUGAAAGAUUUUAAAAUAAGAGUUUUUCUUUUCUCUCCGGAGAUUAGAACUCUUAGAUUGCUUCCUUCAGUGCCUUAUGAGAAAUCAAAGUCUUUGGGUUCUGGGGCGAGUAUUCGCGCAAGCGAGAAAGUUAAAAGAAUUGACGGAAGGGCACCACCAGGCGUGGAGCUUGCGGCUUAAUUUGACUCAACACGGGAAAACUCACUAGUUUAAGACAAGAGUAGGAUUGACAGAUUAAUAGCUCUUUCUUGAUUUCUUGGAUGGUGAUGCAUGGCCGUUUUUAGUUCGUGAAUAUGAUUUGUCUGGUUAAUUCCGAUAACGAACGAGAUCUUAACCUGCUAAUUAGCGGCAAAUACGAUAUAUUCUUAUGUGGAAUUGAAUAUAGUUGAUUUGCUUAUUUUGAAGAAAAUAUUGGGAUACGUAAAUGUAUCCCUUUCCCUUUUCUACUUAAUUUGCUUAUCAUACUAUUUCUUUUUUGCGUAAGAAUGUAUUUGCUUGAUUGUAAAGCUUCUUAGAGGAACGAUGUGUGUCUAACACAAG
rnacentral:rRNA from 1 species